rnacentral:rRNA from 1 species
ACGGAGGGUGCGAGCGUUGUCCGGAAUCAUUGGGCGUAAAGGGCGCGUAGGCGGCCCGGUCAGUCCGUGGUGAAAGCGCGGGGCUCAACCCUGCGUCGGCCGUGGAUACUGCUGUGGCUGGAGCACUGUAGAGGCAGGCGGAAUUCCGGGUGUAGCGGUGGAAUGCGUAGAGAUCCGGAAGGACACCGGUGGCGAAGGCGGCCUGCUGGGCAGUGGCUGACGCUGAGGCGCGACAGCGUGGGGAGCAAACAGGA